AGUGAACGCUGGCGGUAGGCCUAACACAUGCAAGUCGAACGGCAGCACAGUAAGAGCUUGCUCUUACGGGUGGCGAGUGGCGGACGGGUGAGGAAUACAUCGGAAUCUACUUUUUCGUGGGGGAUAACGUAGGGAAACUUACGCUAAUACCGCAUACGACCUACGGGUGAAAGCAGGGGAUCUUCGGACCUUGCGCGAUUGAUUGAGCCGAUGUCGGAUUAGCUAGUUGGCGGGGUAAGGGCCCACCAAGGCGACGAUCCGUAGCUGGUCUGAGAGGAUGAUCAGCCACACUGGAACUGAGACACGGUCCAGACUCCUACGGGAGGCAGCAGUGGGGAAUAUUGGACAAUGGGCGCAAGCCUGAUCCAGCCAUACCGCGUGGGUGAAGAAGGCCUUCGGGUUGUAAAGCCCUUUUGUUGGGAAAGAAAAGCAGCAGGUUAAUACCCCGCUGUUCUGACGGUACCCAAAGAAUAAGCACCGGCUAACUUCGUG
rnacentral:rRNA from 1 species